UUUGAACUACAUUAGCCUACUAUCAAAAUCUUUUUCCAUUUUCAAACAUUUUUUUAAUAAAGCUACAGGGAGCCACUAGAUGUCGUUAAAGAGCCGCAUGCGGCUCUGGAGCCGCGUGUUGCCGACCCCCGAUCUAGGGUCAUCCCACAAUUAAAAAUAUGUAAGGUUGAGUUGAAGGUGCUGACACCCAGAUUUGGAUUUGUUGUUCCACAGUCGCUGCCAACUGCUCGUCAGGGAAGGGUUAAAUGCAGAGAACAAAUUUUGCUGGACGUUAUGUACAAAACUUCUAUGAAUAAUCAACAAUAUUUUUCAAUCAUGACAACCAAACAGCGCCAUUCAUCCAUCCAGUUAUUUUCCGAUCCGCUUCAUCCUCACAAGAGUCGCGGGUGUGCUGGAGCUUAUCCCAGCCUUCUUCGGGCUGCAGGCGGGGGACGCCCUGAACCGGUUGCCAACCAAUCGCAAUGCACACAGAGAGGAACAACCAUCUGCGCUCACACUCACGCUUGGGGACAAUUUAGAGUGUUCAAUUAACCUGCCACGCAUGGUUUUGGAAAUGUGGGAAGAAACUGGAGUACCCGGAGAAAACCCACGUAGGCGCGAGGGAGAACAUGCAAACUCCACGACCUCUGCACUGUGAGGUUGACGCGCUAACCACUGGAACGCCGGACCGCCCAGCGCAAAUCAAUCUUCAAUAAUAAUCAGCUUCACACACACACACACACACACACACAGUCAUACGUCAUACACAGGCCCAGUGAGGGUCAGGGUGAGGUUGUCUCACUGAGAUAAGCCAAAUGGGCUGUUGCGCUUGGAUGGAUGAAAAUUCGAUGCAAUUUGGCGCACUUCGCAGUAAGUCCUUCAUGUGACUUUUUCAAAGAGGCGCCACAUGCAUUUGCGAUCACUUGAUGCUUGGAUAAACUGAUUUGUGCAAUUCUAAAAUCUGACCGAGUCGGGAUGAAUAUAAUGCAGCGGCCGUUCAUUGAUUAACCUCAGAAAGUCCCCCGGCUGCAUUAUUAGCAGCUUGUGCAAGCUCAUUAGCGGAGGAGAUGUUUUUCAUGUCUUGAGACUUGGCGUGUGACACAGCGGACAGCGCACCAACUGUGACGCUUUAAAUGGAUCCACUAACCUCAUUUAAGAGGGCUUCCUCUCCCCCUGACACUUGCGCCGCUGGCGUGUUAAGAUGAUAAUGAAUUUAAAGAACACUUAUGACGAAUAUGUCAGGCUUUUACCCUUUAGAAAGGCGACGGACUCACUGGAGCCGUAGCUCCGGUCUGUCCUGGGCAUCCGUCUCGGCCCCGCUUUAUCCGCCGAUACAGGUCUGGACGAAAGGGAUAAUGGGAUGUCCAAUCACAGAAAUGCGAUUUCCAUUGACCGCAGCUUCGUAAGUGAGUCGCAGAGGGGUCUUAACAAAUUGGAUUUGGCCAUUGGAUGUGAAAAAUACAGGGCGCCUGUAUAUGUGUGUGUGUGUGUGUGUGCGUGUGUAUCAUCAGCGGCGGCCGCAACGUGUCGCUAAAUUGAGGCCAAAUGUGUGUGUCUUCUCCACAUAACCUUGUACGGCAUAAUGGGCUGAAUAAGAAGCACACUUCUGCUUUUAUCUCCUCAGUUCUUCCCUUUAUAUUCAGUUUGAGCCACAGGUGACGACAACUACAAAUGGCCGUUUUAUAGGAGGACUACAGGACCGAGGAUUAUAACGCCGCUUGAUACAUCACGACCUAUCACAGAAAUCGCCACAAUCUAUGCUGUGUAUGCCCACUAGAGCAUCAACAACAUUAAAGAUACUUGAGCCACCCAAGUAAUAUUUCACAAGGGCACUAGAAGGAAAAUCAUUGAUGUAUCGCACUUCAUGUCCAGUAUGGUAAACCCAUGGAACAUUUCAUCUCAAAGAUGAAAUACCGUGCAAAAAAAACCAACAAAACAAAAUAAGACAAUCACUUUUCAGUUCAUUUAAAGAUUGAUUAAAAAGUGCUGACAAAAAGUCGGGGUUAAUUACCCAGUUACCAUCUCUGGAGCUUGCUGAUGUCUUCUGUUUAUCCUCCUUGGGGGGGGAAGGGUAAGUGGUGGGUGUAUAUUUAUGCAUUUUCAGAGCACUUCAUUUGCCACUUAAUCACCAUUGAGGGGAAACGUCUAUAAUAUUACUGAACGAGGAGAUCAAAAAGUGUGAGGGAAAAAAAAGACCCAAAGACCUCCAGAAUUUCACUUCAAGCUGACUAAUAGUCAUUCUAAAUGUGGCAAAGCAGACAUUAAAGAAACCGGGGACCUUACUUAAACGAGCCAAUUGACUUUACGGCGCAAAGUACGAGGCACAAGUUCAGGCCCAUUUACUUUACAUUAUGUACAAUUUCUAUCCAAUCCAUCCAUGGGCACAAUUAUGAACAUUUGUGCAAGUGACACUGUUUAAUUUUCACAGUUUUUAAACAAACCCUGAAAAAAAAAACAUCUAUUCAUAUAUUUGUUCCAAAGCGGUGUUUAAACGAUGCGUCUUCCUAUCCCAUUCAAUGGAGCCAGCAACUUCUUUAAUCAGCCGCCGUUCUCCCGAGUAAUGCGCAACCGUACGAACCCUUGAACUUAAAUAAGUGGAAUCGUGCUUACUUGAAAACGCAGGCCUUUUCCCGUAGGAUUGGUUCCUAUUUGCACAUGGUUAUGUUCUCGUCAAUCUGAGUAAAUAACCACGACCACGGAAACACUUUAUUUCUGACGCAUUCAACAUUUCGCUUUGUGGCUGUAUUGAACAACGGAACAAGAAGGACAGUGUGAAUUUACUGGAAAUGUCUCUAUUCUAAGUGUUAAUUAGUGAGCUUCGGGGGGGGCUUUAUGGCUUUGUGGAAGCGCUUCUUGUUUUAAGCCAUUUUAGUAUUGUUGACGCUUGUUUUCCGAGGCCCUAAUAGAAAAAAGUUGCAAAAGUUCGUAUUUGAGUGGGUGUUGACAACAAGUAACUCUUAAGUAAUUCCUCAUAAGUCUCUCAAAAAUCUCAAAUUUGAACGCAGCGUGUGCCAUUUGAUGCUCUUGAUCUCCGUUUGACGAAUUAGAGAAUUAUUUCCAGAGUUUCCUAACAAGAAAAUAUGAACACGGUACCAUGUGUGAAAAAGGGAAGACGAACAUAGAUUACGUCUGGCCAAAAUCAGCGACACUGUUCCAAUUGUAGUGACUUGUUGUGCCUGAGGGAGAACAGCAUUAAGUUGAAGACGAGCGACUGUUGCUCAUUCGUUAUUUUGAUUCUUAUUUAUUCUCACCUCUGCUUGCUUGACUCUCAAUUCUGUGCUGUCUUUCAUAGCUGCAAGCAGCACAAGCAAAAAAAACAAAACAAAAAUCAUUUGCAUGAGCCGAAUUUAAAUGUACAGUGGCGGCUAGUAGGUCAGUAGCAUAGUUCUUUUUUGUAUAAAUAAUUGUUUUCGCUUUUCUCUCCAACACUUUGUCCAUAGGAGCAGCAAAUGCUGUGAUACAACCUUUUCGGGGGGUGGGGGGGGGAUAUACCUCUCAUAUGUGACGUCGCAUCAUUCACGCCACUACUGCACGUCACACACAAGCCUCUUUUAUUUUCUUAGAUUCCUCCUUCCUAUUUUUGCCCCCAUUGCUAGCAUGCCGAACAACCUUUUGUGAAUGAAGGACUUUUCUUGGCCCUCUUCCCUUCAAAGUGCAGGAAAUAAGCAUGUUGCUAGCAUUGGGACCAUUGUUGCCAUUUUUGCUAGUCGAUUUUUGGGAAAAAAACAGUUGCUAGCGGGGUCGGAAAAGUUGCUAAAUAGGCUAUUGCUAAAGCAUGGCUUCCCAGUGGUUAGCGCGACAACCUCACAGUACAGAGGUACCGGGUUCAAUUCUAGCCCCGGCCUCCAUGUGUGGAGUUUGCAUGUUCUCCCCGGGCCUGCGUGGGUUUUCUCCGGGUACUCCGGUUUCCUCCCACAUUCCAAAAACAUGCAUGGCAGGCUGAUUGAACACUCUAAAUUGUCCCAAGGUGUGAAUGCGAGUGUGGAUGGCUGUUCGUCUGUGUGUGCCCUGUGAUUGGCUGGCAACGGGUUCAGGGUGUCCCCGGCCUAUGCCUGAAGACGGUUGGGAUAGGCUCCAGCACCCCCCGCAACCUUUGUGAGGAUAAGCGGAUCGGAAAAAAUGGAUGGAUAGAUCGAUGGAUGGAUAAAGCACGGCAAGAUUGACAAAAAGUCAGACACAGGUUGAGCUCUUGCUUGCUACCUCACCUGCACAAGCAUUCAGAUGUGUGUUUUUAAGAAAAGAAAACAAAAUAAAAUCACUGCAUAUUUUACGUCUUACUUUGAGUUCAGAGUCAUUCUGAGGGCUGGUCAGAGACUGACGGAUUUGUACUUUGCCCAGGUCUGGUGUAGGCUGCAGUGGAUUUUACGUUCGGGCUGUUUUGGAGGUUACGGCUCUCGAUCUUCACGCUCCAUCCCGCUUUUGACCUCUUUCUGUCUUGUCUCAGUCGCUCUUUCUCCUCCACAUUCACAUCCCCGUCGUCCGUCUGUCAGCACUUUGCCAGUGGCGGUGUGAGACGUGCCUCCGCGCCAGCUUUUGCCAGCUCAUAUCGUGACCUCAGGCAUCGCCACCCCAGACUCGGCGUGCCAAAGCCUCAGUGGGGUACUGCUGCACCGUGCCGAGUCCUUUCCUGUUUCUCUGGACUGUUCUCAGUUGUAGUUGCCUGAUGUAUGGGACAUGGUGCAAACAAAGUACCCUAGAAAGGAUUGCGCCUACUCUUAGAGCUUCCACUAUUUUCUUUAUUUGGAGGGUCUAGGAUUUCAAAAAUGCGGGGUAAAAAGUAACACGGUAAAGCGACCAUUCACAAUUUCCCCCGAAAUGAUCUACGGAAGCAAAUCAUGUCCACUAGGACUAUUGCCGGCACGAGCAAACAUUUUUAUAGCGUGUUGAGAUAAUGCUAUGAUUAAAACGUGUGUCAACAGCCAUUUUAUCACCUCAACGUCCGGGUCAGUGAGUCUCCCGUGGUUCAGGAUGGAAGGGUGGAGUUGACCGUUUCGAGGAUGAGCUGAGGAUGAAACGGCGGAUCAUGUCCCUAUUAGCGGCCAGGCCCAACAUUAAUAUAAUACUCCGCUCCCCGCAGCCUAUCCUCACCAAGCUCCCAUCCUGAGAGCUCAUGUGGGAGCGCUGACUCAGGUGACUGGAUCUUAAACUCCAUCCCCUUCUCCACCCUCUAGGGGAGGGGGAGGGGGGUGACCUUGCCGCCAUCCACUGAAAGGAAAAGGGGGUGGGCCCGAGGGCAGCCAGACGUGGGUGAAGAUCGGCCUCAGCCCCUCAUUAGUCCAGGCCGGACAGCUCAAGAAAAGUGCGCUAAUUACUCCGCUAACAAUGCCCUUGCCGUUCAUGGCUCGCAGCGGCCGACGUGACGCAAGGAUAAUAAACCUCUAACCUCCCCGAGGAGUUCACGAUAGUAUUAUGAUUAUUUUGAGUGACCCAUCGAGGGAGGGCGGCAAUGAGUUUGGCUGCAGCGUUACGCAUCGUUUGUUAGCGGGAAUCUCACGGACGGAAAGAUGUUUGUUAUGAUUGUAAAACGUUUGCAGUUCAUGGGGCCACUCAAGGCUCUCCUAUCUUAGGUGACCGUCUGACUGUUUACUGAGUCAUUGCUUCUGUGUGACUGAAAAAUAACCGUCGGAGGCCAGCAUUAGGCCCUCAACGCUCACCUUCAUCUUUUCUGUUAGCGUGUGGAAAACAGCCUGGCGGCCCCGCAGCCUGACAUUACGGCGCUAGCCUGUAAUCAUGAGGCUUUAAAAAAAAAAAAAAAAAAAUCCAGCAGCCGCAAACAGUGUGGCAUCGUCAUCGUGGUCGCAGCUAAGAACCAUUCACCACUUCUGUCCCAUAAACGCUGCUUUGCCGAGUCACAGCAGACCCCCUUAAGAGACUGCUCUGCUUUUAAUCAUCUUGCGAGCUGACAUGUCAUGCUUUGCGACAUAUGAGGAUAAGUUCAAAAUCAAAAACAUGGGGCAAAAAAACAAAAAAGCCUUUUUAAGGUUUAUUUGGGGUGACGAAAUGAGAGACUAAUGAAUAUAUAGACUUAGCAUUUUGGAAUGUCAGCUAAAAGAAAAAAAAAUCAAGCCUCUGCUUCCACAAGCUGUUUGCCAUUAAGUGUGACGACACUUCCACUAGACGGCUGCUACA